CUUGAAAUGGGCUGAGUCCCUCUUGCUCACCCUUGACUUGGAAAAACCAGUUUCUCUUUUAUUGUCUGUUACUAAUCUCUAUUCUAAAAAUUCAGCUCAAUUCUCAACCAUACUCCAAACUCUCUCUUUUCCAGCUACCUUUACUCCCUCUCCUUCAAUUCCACUUUCCUCUGCUUACUUUUUUUUUUUUUCUGACAGGGUCUCACUUUGUCGCCCGGGCAGGAGUGCAGUGGCUCAAUCUUGGGCUCACUGCAGCCUCAACCUCCCAGGUUCAAGCGAUUCUCCUGCCUCAGCCCCUCAAGUAGCUGGGACUACAAGCGCACACCACCACGCCUGACUAAUUUUUUGUAUUUUUUUGUAGAGGCGGGGUUUCACCAUGUUGCCCAGACUGGUCUUGAACUCCUGAGCUUAAGCAAUCCACCUGCCUCGGCCUCCCAAAGUGUUGGGAUCACAGGCGUGAGCCACCGCAUCCGGCCUCAUGUUCUUUUUCAUUAAAGAGAGAAAUCAACUAUUCAGGACCGGCCCCCACCUUUCCUCAGGAGUCAUUUCUGUUCCGCACAGGCCUGCUGAACUGGGUGCUUUAUAUAGGACACUGUCAUCUCUCAAGUACCCAUCUUGGAGGGUACGGACCCCACAUGAGGGUGAGGCUCUCUGCACACUCCAGAAAAGGACCAACCACACCGAGCUCAGUUAUGGCACACACAGUGGGACCUAGACAAAGGGAGAGGGUGACCGACAUCCCAACUAGAUUUCAGUGGAGUGAAGUUCAGGAGGCAUGGAGCUGACAACCAUGAGGCCUCGGCAGCCACCGCCACCACCGCCGCCGCCACCACCGUAGCAGCAGCAGCAGCAGCAGCAGCAGCAGCAGCAGCAGCAAGAGUAACUCUGACUUAGGAAUAGAGACAGCCAGAGAGAAAUGUGAUCAAUGAAGGAGACAUCUGGAGUGUGCGUGCUUCUUCAGAGGGACGGGUGAUGGGCAGAUUGGAAAAAGCACCGCAGAUGGGAACCUUAAUCUUUCUUUUCUAAAAUUGAUGCUAUGAAAAUUUGCGUUUUCUGUAACUUGUAAAAACUAAAAGUUGCUUGUCUACUGAAAA
rnacentral:lncRNA from 1 species